rnacentral:lncRNA from 12 species
AAAAAAGAAAAGAGAGGUUUCUGAUGAAAAGACGUGACUUCCAUCUUCUUAGAAUACGGAUCUGGGCCUUCAAAAUGUUGACUGUCACAUUCACAGUGUGUCUAACAUCCCUGUGCAACAUAACAUAUUCCAGCAUUUUGCAAUGAAAGGUGGCAUUAAAAUAUUGCCUUGUCAGAUGUCG